UGUAAGUGAAGCCCACAACAGUAUGGCCCAGGAAGAGCCCAAGACACUUAACCCUCACUUGUCUUCUCCGAAGACCAUCUUGUCGUAUUGUAGAGCUGAGGAGAGGAGUACGGAGAGUCCUAUCCACAACCGUUACGCUCCGCUGCUGUCGCUGUGUGCUGGCUAAUCUACUUUUGCUUUAACAGCUGUGUAGUCGUUUGGAUCUAGAUCCUUCUUUGUAUCCUUUAUAUUGCCUUGUAACCCUAUUGAUUCAAGGUAAUGAGAUUGUAGUAUUCAUUCAAACAUCUCU
rnacentral:lncRNA from 1 species